rnacentral:rRNA from 1 species
CUGGGGUGAUUAGUGGCGAACGGGUGAGUAACACGUGAGUAACCUGCCCCUGACUCUGGGAUAAGCCCGGGAAACUGGGUCUAAUACUGGAUAUGCACCGUAAGCCGCAUGGCUUUUGGUGGAAAGAUUUUUUGGUCAGGGAUGGACUCGCGGCCUAUCAGCUUGUUGGUGAGGUAAUGGCUCACCAAGGCGACGACGGGUAGCCGGCCUGAGAGGGUGACCGGCCACACUGGGACUGAGACACGGCCCAGACUCCUACGGGAGGCAGCAGUGGGGAAUAUUGCACAAUGGGCGAAAGCCUGAUGCAGCGACGCCGCGUGAGGGAUGACGGCCUUCGGGUUGUAAACCUCUUUCAGUAGGGAAGAAGCGAAAGUGACGGUACCUGCAGAAGAAGCGCCGGCUAACUACGUGCCAGCAGCCGCGGUAAUACGUAGGGCGCAAGCGUUAUCCGGAAUUAUUGGGCGUAAAGAGCUCGUAGGCGGUUUGUCGCGUCUGCCGUGAAAGUCCGAGGCUCAACCUCGGAUCUGCGGUGGGUACGGGCAGACUAGAGUGAUGUAGGGGAGACUGGAAUUCCUGGUGUAGCGGUGAAAUGCGCAGAUAUCAGGAGGAACACCGAUGGCGAAGGCAGGUCUCUGGGCAUUAACUGACGCUGAGGAGCGAAAGCAUGGGGAGCGAACAGGAUUAGAUACCCUGGUAGUCCAUGCCGUAAACGUUGGGCACUAGGUGUGGGGGACAUUCCACGUUUUCCGCGCCGUAGCUAACGCAUUAAGUGCCCCGCCUGGGGAGUACGGCCGCAAGGCUAAAACUCAAAGGAAUUGACGGGGGCCCGCACAAGCGGCGGAGCAUGCGGAUUAAUUCGAUGCAACGCGAAGAACCUUACCAAGGCUUGACAUGUGCCAGACCGCCGUGGAAACACGGUUUCCCCUUUGGGGCUGGUUCACAGGUGGUGCAUGGUUGUCGUCAGCUCGUGUCGUGAGAUGUUGGGUUAAGUCCCGCAACGAGCGCAACCCUCGUUCUAUGUUGCCAGCGGAUUAUGCCGGGGACUCAUAGGAGACUGCCGGGGUCAACUCGGAAGGAAGGUGGGGACGACGUCAAAUCAUCAUGCCCCUUAUGGCUUGGGCUUCACGCAUGCUACAAUGGCCGGUACAAUGGGUUGCGAUACUUGGGAGGUGGAACUAAUCCCAAAAAGCCCGUCUCAAUUCCGGAUUGGGGGCUGGCACUCACACCCCCUGAAGUCGGGAGUCCCUUGGUAAUCCGAAAAAAGAAACCCUCCGCGGAAAAAAGUUCCCGGGCCUUUUACACCCGCCCUCUCAAUUCCCGAAAAUGGGUAACCCCGAACCCUGGGGCUAACCCCUUUUGGGGAGAGGCUCGAAUUGGACGUAGGGGCUUUUUUUUCUAAAGGUGAGCCCCUGUAAGUAAGGGGAAUUUGGCGGUUUU